rnacentral:misc_RNA from 1 species
CGAGUUAGGGUCUUUUAUAGGCUCGACCUCCCAACCCUUUGUUUACCCGACCCACGUUGCUUCGGCGAGCCCGUCUCUCCCUCUCCGGGGGGGCAGACCGCCGGGGGGCCUUCAAACCGUCCUCUGGCCCGCGCUCGUCGGUAGCCAACCUUUACAAAUUCUUAAUUAAACGUGUCUACUCUGAGUACUAUUUUUUAAUUAAAAGCAAAACUUUCAACAACGGAUCUCUUGGUUCUGGCAUCGA